rnacentral:rRNA from 1 species
GACGAACGCUGGCGGCGUGCUUAACACAUGCAAGUCGAACGGUAAGGCCCUUCGGGGUACACGAGUGGCGAACGGGUGAGUAACACGUGGGUGAUCUGCCCUGCACUUCGGGAUAAGCCUGGGAAACUGGGUCUAAUACCGGAUAGGACCCUGGGAUGCAUGUCCUGGGGUGGAAAGCUUUUGCGGUGUGGGAUGGGCCCGCGGCCUAUCAGCUUGGUGGUGGGGUGAGGGCCUACCAAGGCGACGACGGGUAGCCGGCCUGAGGGGGUGACCGGCCACACUGGGACUGAGAGACGGCCCAGACUCCUACGGGAGGCAGCGGUGGGGAAUAUUGCACAAUGGGCGCAAGCCUGAUGCAGCGACGCCGCGUGAGGGAUGACGGCCUUCGGGUUGUAAACCUCUUUCAGCACCGACGAAGCGCAAGUGACGGUAGGUGCAGAAGAAGGACCGGCCAACUACGUGCCAGCCGCCGCGGUAA